rnacentral:rRNA from 1 species
UACGUAGGUGGCAAGCGCUGUCCGGAUUUACUGGGCGUAAAGCGCGCGUAGGCGGCCCUGUAAGUCCGUUGUGAAAGUCAAAGGCUCAACCUUUGAAAGCCGAUGGAUACUGCAGGGCUAGAGUCCGGAAGAGGCGAGUGGAAUUCCUGGUGUAGCGGUGGAAUGCGCAGAUAUCAGGAGGAACACCAAUAGCGAAGGCAGCUCGCUGGGACGGUACUGACGCUAAGGCGCGAAAGCGUGGGGAGCGAACAGG